rnacentral:ncRNA from 1 species
GGUCAAGCUACAAAGAGCUUAAGGUGAAUGCCUUGGCACUGGGAGCCGAAGAAGGACGUGGCAAGCUGCGAAAAGCUGCGGGGAGUUGCAAGCAAACAUUGAUCCGCAGAUGUCCGAAUGGAGCAAUCCACAUAGGGUAACGCCUAUGUAUCAUACAGUGAAUCCAUAGCUGUAUGAGGGGAACCGCCUGAACUGAAACAUCUAAGUAGGGCGAGGAAGAGAAAUCAAACGAGAUUCCGCUAGUAGUGGCGAGCGAACGCGGAAGAGGCCAAACUGAGAGCAGCAAUGUUCUCAGGGUUAGGACUGCAUUUAGCAUUGACAAAGGUUAGCUGAACUGCAUGGGAAGGCAGACUGGAAAGGGUGAGAGUCCCGUAAGCGAAAACUAAAGUCAGCGAGCAGUAUCCAGAGUACCGCAAGACACGUGAAACCUUGUGGGAAGAUGGGGGGACCACCCUCCAAGCCUAAAUACUACCC